rnacentral:misc_RNA from 1 species
AACGCACAUUGCGCCUACCGGUAUUCCGGUAGGCAUGCCUGUCCGAGCGUCAUUUGCAACCUCUCAAGCACGGCUUGUGUGUUGGACCAGCGUGCCCGUCAGUGGGCACGGGUCCGAAAUGCAGUGGCGGCGUCACGGCUCGAUCCCGCAAGCGUAUGGGGCUCUGUCACACGCUGGGCGGUCGGGCGUAGCUACGUCUGCCGGACUCUCACAUCUUCUCAGGUUGACCUCGGAUCAGGUAGGGAUACCCGCUGAACUUAA